AAAUUGAAGAGUUUGAUCAUGGCUCAGAUUGAACGCUGGCGGCAGGCCUAACACAUGCAAGUCGAACGGUAACAGGAAGCAGCUUGCUGCUUCGCUGACGAGUGGCGGACGGGUGAGUAAUGUCUGGGAAACUGCCUGAUGGAGGGGGAUAACUACUGGAAACGGUGGCUAAUACCGCAUAACGUCGCAAGACCAAAGAGGGGGACCUUCGGGCCUCUUGCCAUCAGAUGUGCCCAGAUGGGAUUAGCUUGUUGGUGGGGUAACGGCCCACCAAGGCGACGAUCCCUAGCUGGUCUGAGAGGAUGACCAGCCACACUGGAACUGAGACACGGUCCAGACUCCUACGGGAGGCAGCAGUGGGGAAUAUUGCACAAUGGGCGCAAGCCUGAUGCAGCCAUGCCGCGUGUAUGAAGAAGGCCUUCGGGUUGUAAAGUACUUUCAGCGGGGAGGAAGGGGAUGUGGUUAAUAACCGCAUU
rnacentral:rRNA from 1 species